rnacentral:rRNA from 1 species
CUACGGGAGGCAGCAGUGGGGAAUUUUCCGCAAUGGGCGAAAGCCUGACGGAGCAAUACCGCGUGAGGGAAUACGGCCUAUGGGUUGUAAACCUCUUUUUUCAGGGAGGAAUUUUGACGUGUACCUGAAGAAUAAGCAUCGGCUAACUCCGUGCCGGCAGCCGCGGUAAGACGGAGGAUGCAAGUGUUAUCCGGAAUCACUGGGCGUAAAGCGUCUGUAGGUGGUUGAACAAGUCAACUGUUAAAUCUUGAGGCUCAACUUCAAAAUCGCAGUCGAAACUGUUUGACUAGAGUAUAGUAGGGGUAAAGGGAAUUUCCAGUGGAGCGGUGAAAUGCGUAGAUAUUGGAAAGAACACCGAUGGCGAAGGCACUUUACUGGGCUAUUACUGACACUCAGAGACGAAAGCUAGGGUAGCAAAUGGGAUUAGAUACCCCAGUAGUCCUAGCCGUAAACAAUGGAUACUAGAUGUUGAACAGAUCGACCUGUGCAGUAUCAAAGCUAACGCGUUAAGUAUCCCGCCUGGGAAGUAUGCUCGCAAGAGUGAAACUCAAAG